rnacentral:rRNA from 1 species
GACGAACGCUGGCGGCGUGCUUAACACAUGCAAGUCGAGCGAUGAAGCUCCUUCGGGAGUGGAUUAGCGGCGGACGGGUGAGUAACACGUGGGUAACCUGCCUCAUAGAGGGGAAUAGCCUUCCGAAAGGAAGAUUAAUACCGCAUAAGAUUGUAGUACCGCAUGGUAUAGCAAUUAAAGGAGUAAUCCGCUAUGAGAUGGACCCGCGUCGCAUUAGCUAGUUGGGGAGGUAACGGCUCACCAAGGCGACGAUGCGUAGCCGACCUGGGAGGGUGAUCGGCCACAUUGGGACUGAGACACGGCCCAGACUCCUACGGGAGGCAGCAGUGGGGAAUAUUGCACAAUGGGGGAAACCCUGAUGCAGCAACGCCGCGUGAGUGAUGACGGUCUUCGGAUUGUAAAACUCUGUCUUCAGGGACGAUAAUGACGGUACCUGAGGAGGAAGCCACGGCUAACUACGUGCCAGCCGCCGCAGUAA